AGUACCGUGAGGGAAAGGUGAAAAGAACCCCUAUUAGGGGAGUGAAAUAGAACCUGAAACCGGAUGCCUACAAUCAGUCGGAGCUCUAUAUGAGUGACGACGUACCUUUUGUAUAAUGGGUCAGUGACUUUAUCUGUGCAGCAAGCUUAAGCCGAAAAAGGUGUAGGCGUAGCGAAAGCGAGUCUGAAUAGGGCGAUGAGUUGUACGGAUAAGAACCCCGAAACCCUAGUGAUCUAGUUAUGAGCAGGUUGAAGGUAAGGUAACACUUACUGGAGGGACCGAANCCGGUGCCUGUUGAAAAAGGCUCGGAUGACUUGUGAUUAGGGGUGAAAGGCCAAUCAAACUGGGAGAUAGCUGGUUUUCCGCGAAAGAUAUUUAGGUAUCGCCUCGCAUGAAUGCUUCGGGGGGUAGAGCACUGGAUGGGCUAGGGGGUCGCGAGAUCUACCAAACCUAACCAAACUCCGAAUACCCACAAGUACAGCUCGGGAGACAGACGGCGGGUGCUAAGGUCCGUCGUCAAAAGGGAAACAGCCCUAACCUACAGCUAAGGUCCCCAAGUCAUCACUAAGUGGGAAAGCAUGUGGGACUUCCAAAACAACCAGGAGGUUGGCUUAGAAGCAGCCAU
rnacentral:rRNA from 1 species